CCUGCGGAAGGAUCAUUACAGAGUUCCUGCCCUCACGGGUAGAAACCCCACCCUUGUGUAUAUUAUAUUGUUGCUUUAGCAGGUCGCCCUCUGGGCGUCGGCCUCGGCUGACUGUGCCUGCUAGAGGACCCUAAAUUUUGAAAUACAGUGUCGUCUGAGUACUAUUUAAUAGUUAAAACUUUCAACAACGGAUCUCUUGGUUCUGGCAUCGAUGAAGAACGCAGCGAAAUGCGAUAAGUAAUGUGAAUUGCAGAAUUCAGUGAAUCAUCGAAUCUUUGAACGCACAUUGCGCCCCUUGGUAUUCCGGGGGGCAUGCCUGUUCGAGCGUCAUUUAGACCAACUCCCGCUCCGGCGGGGUCUUGGGCUGCGCCUUUGGGCGGGCCUUAAAACCAGUGGCGGUGCCCUAAGGCUCUACGCGUAGUAAUUCUUCUCGCGAUAGGGUCCUUGCGGUGUCUUGCCAGCAACCCCCAACUCUCUAGGGUUGACCUCGGAUCAGGUAGGGAUACCCGCUGAACUUAAGCAUAUC
rnacentral:rRNA from 1 species